GUGAGGAAUAUUGCGCAAUGGAGGCAACUCUGACGCAGCCAUGCCGCGUGCAGGAAGAAGGCGCUACGCGUUGUAAACUGCUUUUAACCGGGAAGAAACCCCAGGACGUGUCCUGGGUUGACGGUACCGGAGGAAUAAGCACCGGCUAACUUCGUGCCAGCAGCCGCGGUAAUACGAAGGGUGCAAGCGUUAUCCGGAUUCAUUGGGUUUAAAGGGUGCGUAGGCGGCGCGUUAAGUCAGUGGUGAAAUCCUGCAGCUUAACUGUAGACUUGCCAUUGAUACUGGCGCUCUUGAGUGCGCUUGAAGUGGGCGGAAUGUGCCGUGUAGCGGUGAAAUGCUUAGAUAUGGCACAGAACACCAAUUGCGAAGGCAGCUCACUAAGGCGAUACUGACGCUGAGGCACGAAAGCGUGGGGAUCGAACAGGAUUAGAUACCCCGGUAGUCC
rnacentral:rRNA from 1 species